rnacentral:rRNA from 1 species
GACGAACGCUGGCGGCGUGCCUAAUACAUGCAAGUAGAACGCUGAAGAGAGGAGCUUGCUCUUCUUGGAUGAGUUGCGAACGGGUGAGUAACGCGUAGGUAACCUGCCUGGUAGCGGGGGAUAACUAUUGGAAACGAUAGCUGAUACCGCAUAAAAUUGAUUAUUGCAUGAUAAUUAAUUGAAAGAUGCAACUGCAUCACUACCAGAUGGACCUGCGUUGUAUUAGCUAGUUGGUGAGGUAACGGCUCACCAAGGCGACGAUACACAGCCGACCUGAGAGGGUGAUCGGCCACACUGGGACUGAGACACGGCCCAGACUCCUACGGGAGGCAGCAGUAGGGAAUCUUCGGCAAUAGGGGGAACCCUGACCGAGCAACGCCGCGUGAGUGAAGAAGGUUUUCGGAUCGUAAAGCUCUGUUGUAAGAGAAGAACGGGUGUGAGAGUGGAAAGUUCACACUGUGACGGUAUCUUACCAGAAAGGGACGGCUAACUACGUG